rnacentral:rRNA from 1 species
GACGUAGGGCGCGAGCGUUGUCCGGAUUUAUUGGGCGUAAAGAGCUCGUAGGCGGCUUGUCGCGUCGUUCGUGAAAACUCACAGCUCAACUAUGAGCUUGCGGUCGAUACGGGCAGGCUAGAGUUCGGUAGGGGAGACUGGAAUUCCCGGUGUAGAGGUGAAAUUCGUAGAUAUCGGGAGGAACACCAGUGGCGAAGGCGGCGAUCUGGGAAGAUACUGACGCUGAGGUGCGAAAGCGUGGGGAGCAAACAGG